UUCUUCCUGUGGCAUUGUAAGACACUUGUCUGUAUGUGGUGAAGCUACAAAUUCUUAACUGGGUUUUAUCCGGCUCAUCUGUGAGGAUUAUCAAGAAUUUAAGCUACAUUUACGCCGUAAUUAUUAUUUACUUACAUUUCAAUUGUUCCAAUUGUGAUUUGGCGUUUUACGCGUUGUGCGGAUCAUUAACCACAUGGCAGCAUAAAACUUAGGCUCGUUCAACACCUGUAGAGCCAUUCUAUUCUCUCUGGAAAUCAAUUUUAUAUAAUUAAUCGAACGUCACUGGACACUACCUAUUCUUCCGUCUUCGUCAGCGUCACUUCUAUUUCUUCUAUCAGAACUUCAGGAUAGCACCAAGGGUUAUCGAAGCCGAGGCACACCUAUUGCGGUACAUCCCAACCCGGCGAGGCCGACCCGGCGACGGACGACCGGGCGAUGGCCUUCCUGGCGAAAGCCAACCGGGCGAUGGCCCAACUUGGCGACGCACAACUGGACGAAAUUUGAAAAAUAUACAAGUAUUUUAUAUUACAUUAUUACCCAAUAUUUAACGUUGUGUAUAUUGAAAAAUACUGUAUCUACGAAUUUUUUAUUAAGGGCUUAUAUUCUAUUCCAGGAAGAAAGGGUAUUUUAUAAAAAUUUUCUUGUAAACGUAAUUAAAUGUUUUCAAAAUGA